AAUUGCGAUCAUACCAGCACUGAUGCACCGGAUCCCAUCACAACUCCGAAGUUAAACGUGCUUGGGCAAGAGUAGUACUAAGAUGGGUGACCUCUUGGGAAGUCCUCGUGUUGCACCCC
rnacentral:rRNA from 1 species